rnacentral:lncRNA from 10 species
UAUAAUUUUCCUUGAGGCCAUCAAUAGAUGGGCAAGAGAAGGAAAACAGGCUUUACCUGGCUCACAGGCACCUGUCAAAGAACAAAAUUUCAGCAAAUUGAGUUUUUAAAGAUGAAUUGGCUUUUAUCAGUGAUUCAUGAACUGGGCAGCAUCAAGUCUACAAAAUAGAAAAAAGCUCUAAUGAGCUGAGAAGAGUGGGUGGGCUUUAUAGGCAGAAAAGGUUGAAGAAAACAGAAACAAGGGACAGAGAGUUGGUUAUUUCAGUUACUUUCCUUAUAGGGAAUCAUGUUGGCUUAGUGGGUUUGGGCUAUCAUCUUUCUCCUGAUUCUUUGGAAGGUCAGAUCUUACACAAGUAAACAGCUUAGGUUUCAGUUUGGUGAUGUGGAACCCUAGCAUGAGUGAUUCCAUUUUGAGUUGAUAUGUUGGAGCCUAGUGCAGGAGCUCAGUCCAAAUCAAUGGCUUCCCAUAAAUUUUAUUUAACACACCUAUGCAAAAUAGGGCAGACCUGGGGACAGAAUAGUCUUUGUUUAGACUAAAUGUUUGUGUCCCCUCAGAAUUCAUAUGUUGAAAUCCUAACACCCAGUGUGAUGGUAUUAAGAGGUGGAACCUUUGGGAGAUGAUUAGGUUAUGAGGACUCUGCCCCCAUGAAUGGGAAUAGUACCCUUAUAAAAGAGACCCCAGAGAGUUCACUUGCCACUCAUGCCAUGUGAGGACACAAUUUUCUUUAUCCAGUCCACCAUUGAUGGGCAUCUAGGUUGAUUCUAUACCUUUGCUAUUGUGAAUAGUGCUGCGAUGAACAUACAGGUCCAUGUAUCUUUUUUUUAUAGAAUGAUUUAUUUUCAUGAUUUUUUUUUAAGUGGAAAGAAAGGUUAAGUUUCAGUAGGCUUGAGUGAAUGUUAAAGCAUCAACUUGUGUAUUCACUGGGACAGUCCCUCAAUUAUGACUGUACAAGUUGCUGAUGUCCCAUGAGCAAAAUUACCUCUGUGUCCAGGGACUUUCCUCCUGAUUGCAGCUGAAGCUAUAAAUAUUCUCACCUCUACCCCUGCAUCAUUGCUGGGCCCACCCCUGCUCCUUUUCCCUUCGUCUUUCUGUCACUGCUGGGAAGCCCCUGCCUUUGCUCAGACUUCUGGAUGCCUUCCAACUCAUUUUCCUGUCCUGCACACUCCAAUCCCCCAUGGUGUAGGAAUCCCCACUUCUGACAGUAGAGCACAGUAGGGAGGAGAGAAGGUGAGCUGAGUUUCUGUUCUCACAAGAAAACUUAGAGUGGAUUUUCACCAGGAAAUAACACUCUACCAAGUAACUGGUUCUUGACCAUCAUUAAUACUAGCGUCUCAUUUCCUGUGGGUGGCGUGGGCUCUGGUGGUGUGCUUAGGAACCAGUCAUUCAUAUAGAACUGAAGAAAAUCUGUUCUGAAUUCUAAGACAGAUUUUCCAACAAACUUUUGGAUCAAUACCAAGUUUUAAGUUGUCAGUUCCCUAUAAAGCCCUAGGGGUGCCUAGCUUAGCUAAAGGGAAAGAAUUCAAGGUUUCUGUGGGUGAAGUAAGACAGGG